rnacentral:lncRNA from 1 species
ACAGGGAGAACACUUGCUAUUUACAGCGGCUUGUUCAGACCAGGAGGUACGGGGUAAAGAGAGAUUUGCUUUAAUAACGAGCAGGUGCUUAGAAUUAAUGCAGGGAAGGAAAAGCCUGUGAAGGGACCUGAGCGAGCCCGAAUCCAGGUCAAGCCUGAGGAGACGUCCAGCCAUGUACCACACAGUUAUCAGAUCCAGCACGCAUGUGGAGAAAGCCUGGCUUUUGUGAGAUGUCGAACUCUCAGCUCCUCCUGCACCAUGCCCGCCUGGAUAGCUCCAUGCUUCCCACCUUGAUGAUGAUGGACUGAACCUCUGAAAUGAAAAUGCAUGGACCCCCAGAGACAACAGACUCCAAAUUGAGAAAACUGCAUCAGAAAGAUAAAUGCUGGCCUCCAGCUAUUUACUGGGGCUCUAAAACUAUAAGGCUGCAAUCAUAGUAUUCCAGAAUGCCCAAAGCAUGUUCUUGUUUAAAAGCACUUUAAGAAUUUUACUCAAAUAAAAUCUGAAAAUGUAAAUAAUCUCAUAUCAAA